GAGCGGCGAACGGGUGAGUAACGCUUCGGAAUCUGCCUAGUAGUGGGGAAUAACUAACCGAAAGGUUAGCUAAUGCCGCAUACGACAUGGGUGAAAGCGGGGGAUCGUAAGACCUCGCGCUGUUAGAUGAGCCGAAGUCGGAUUAGCUAGUUGGUGAGGUAACGGCUCACCAAGGCGACAAUCCGUAGCUGGUCUGAGAGGACGACCAGCCACACUGGGACUGAGACACGGCCCAGACUCCUACGGGAGGCAGCAGUAGGGAAUAUUGGACAAUGGGGGAAACCCUGAUCCAGCGACGCCGCGUGUGUGAAGAAGGCCUGCGGGUUGUAAAGCACUUUUAGUGGGGACAAAAAGCCACGGACUAAUACUCUGUGGUCUUGAUUUAACCCAAAGAAAAAGCACCGGCUAACUCUGUGCCAGCAGCCGCGGUAAUACAGAGGGUGCGAGCGUUAAUCGGAAUUACUGGGCGUAAAGCGUGCGUAGACGGUUAUGUAAGUCGGAUGUGAAAUCCCCGGGCUCAACCUGGGAAUUGCAUUCGAAACUGCAUAGCUAGGGUGCGGAAGAGGGAAGCGGAAUUUCCGGUGUAGCGGUGAAAUGCGUAGAUAUCGGAAGGAACAUCAGUGGCGAAGGCGGCUUCCUGGUCCAGCAC
rnacentral:rRNA from 1 species